rnacentral:lncRNA from 1 species
AUUUAAUCUAUCUAUAUUUAUAUACGAGGUUUUGAUGGAGUUUAUAAUAAUAGGCAUCAAUAAAAAAAAAGAGAAUAAUGGACAAAUUAAUAAAUGAAUAAAGAAUAAAGAAAGAUUAAAAAAAUAUAAAGAAUAAAUGUUGUCUGCUAAUCUGUAUGGAAUAGAGAAAUAUACGGCUGUUAAACUAUGAGGAAUAAAGAACUAUGGGCUGUAAUAUUAUAUAAAAAAGAAUACAAACGAAUAUAAAUAGUAUGCUGUAAGAUUUCUCUUUACUUAUCCUUUUAGUUGUUGUGCACGUGAAGGAAUUAUGACUGUGCAGAGAAACCAGAACCGGUUUGAACCGGUUAAAAUAAGCAGAUACUGGCUCUGAAGGUGGGCGGCUCUUAGUUUACGGUCCAAUCAAACAAUUUUGAUCUCUAUAUAUUCCUCUACAUAAAACUGGUUUGAAGAUAACAAAAUGCUUAAGGAAGAGAGAUAGGUCAGGACGAGUACAGAAACGAUAAAAGUUGUAUUGAUAAAUUUUUUCAACCGUAUAGAAGCUAAAUUCGUCGACUGUACUAAUAUAUUUAUCC